CUAUGACAGCUGAGUUUCUUUUAGAUAAUAAGUUAAUUGGCAGUCAUUUUGUACAAAUCAAACAUUUAAAUAUUUAUAUGCAAAAUUAGAAUUAUUUAGAGUUUUGAAAAAAUACUCUUACCCAGCACAGACACUAUAGUUUAAGGAAUAUUCCUGAGUCACUUCCUGUGACUCACUGACCAGCUAUCAUAUUUGUUAAACAUACAUAAGCACUGAUCUUUGAUCAAUUUUAUAUUUUUUCCAGAUUAAGUCAGACUUCAGAUUUAACCGAUUCUCUAAAUUAACCUUAUAAUCAACUAUCACAUCUCUUUUCAUGUAGAAAGAAGGGGUGGAGGUUGGAACUCCAACAGAUCCAUGAGUCACCAGGAACCUUUGUCCAUCAACGAACCCGGGCUCAUCAAGAAACUCCACCAUUCUCUAUUUAUACUUAGAACAUAUGAGUUCUUCAGUCACCUUGGAAGAAGAAGCAACAGCUGGAGGCUAUUACAUCACAUCUUCUCUACUUUAGCCCAGAAGUGGCACAUAACUUUUAUCCACAGCCCACAGUCUAGAACAAGUUACAUACCUACAGGUAGAAGGAUAGGAAUGUCAAGGACAUAAAGUAGAAUGUUUGGUAACCACCACUCUCUGUGUCACAUUAAAAAUCACACACUAUAGGGGACAUUCUUGGCUGUCCAGUGGUUGGGACUCAUGCUUCCAUUGCAGAGGGCACGGGUUCAAUCCUUGGUCAGGAAACUAAAAUCCCUCUUGGAAUGGCAGAAAAAAAAAAUCACACUCUAUACAUAACGUUAUUCCUCUCUUUGUGCUUAAAAUUAUAAGCAUUUUUGCACAUCCUUAAAUCUCUUCAUAAACACAUAAAUAUGACCCUCUGUUAUUUAGUCAUUGUUUUACUAUUAUCAAUAUUGCUGUGUGCCUGGCAAUUUCCUAAGUACUUUAUGGGCAAUGUUUUCAUUCAAUUCUCACAACUACUCUAUGAGGAAGAUACAAUAGUAUAACCACUUUAUGGUUCUGAAAAUGGAGGCCUAAUGAGUAAAUUUUCCAAGGACACACAAUAAGUAAGUGGCAGAUCUGAGACUCUCACAGAGAACUGUCAGACGUUCAAGCCCAUGCUCUUAACCAAUGAGUGUAAACUAAAGAACUGCGGUCCAAGUGUAAAACACAACACUGCUGCACUGGGUUACUGACCAGAAAGUGCAACAUCACAGGGGUAGGAAAGGAUUCAUCAGACCAUAAGGAACUGUUGUUACAGGUUAACUUACAAACAAUAGAAACAAUGACAGAUGAAAAUUCGAACCCAACAGAAGAUUGAUCAAAUUUUCGAAUUCUUUUUGUUUCCCUGUGAAGUAUUUCAAAAGAUGACUGGCCUCUUUGAACUCAUUAAGGUCUCUAGAUUCUUAGAUUAUGUUGGAAGGAGGGG
rnacentral:lncRNA from 1 species